rnacentral:rRNA from 1 species
UUAACUGGAGGAAGGUGGGGAUGACGUCAAAUCAUCAUGCCCCUUAUGACCUGGGCUACACACGUGCUACAAUGGAUGGUACAAAGGGCAGCGAAGCCGCGAGGUGUAGCAAAUCCCAUAAAACCAUUCUCAGUUCGGAUUGCAGGCUGCAACUCGCCUGCAUGAAGCCGGAAUCGCUAGUAAUCGCGGAUCAGCAUGCCGCGGUGAAUACGUUCCCGGGCCUUGUACACACCGCCCGUCACACCACGAGAGUUGGCAACACCCGAAGUCGGUGAGGUAACCUUUUUGGAGCCAGCCGCCGAAGGUGGGGCCAAUGAUUGGGGUGAAGUCGUAAACCAAGGUUGCCCGUUGG